GCAGCACGGACUUCGGUCUGGUGGCGAGUGGCGAACGGGUGAGUAAUAUAUCGGAACGUAUCCAAUAAUGGGGGAUAACUAAUCGAAAGGUUGGCUAAUACCGCAUACGCCCUACGGGGGAAAGCUAGGGACCUUCGGGCCUGGCGUUAAUGGAGCGGCCGAUAUCUGAUUAGCUAGUUGGUGGGGUAAAGGCCCACCAAGGCGACGAUCAGUAGCUGGUCUGAGAGGACGACCAGCCACACUGGAACUGAGACACGGUCCAGACUCCUACGGGAGGCAGCAGUGGGGAAUUUUGGACAAUGGGCGAAAGCCUGAUCCAGCCAUUCCGCGUGAGUGAAGAAGGCCUUCGGGUUGUAAAGCUCUUUCGCAAGGGAAGAAAGAUUACUCUCUAACAUAGAGUGAUUAUGACGGUACCUUGAUAAGAAGCACCGGCUAACUACGUGCCAGCAGCCGCGGUAAUACGUAGGGUGCGAGCGUUAAUCGGAAUUACUGGGCGUAAAGCGUGCGCAGGCGGUUUUGUAAGUCAGAUGUGAAAUCCCCGAGCUCAACUUGGGAACUGCGUUUGAAACUACAAGACUAGAAUAUGUCAGAGGGGGGUAGAAUUCCACGUGUAGCAGUGAAAUGCGUAGAGAUGUGGAGGAAUACCAAUGGCGAAGGCAGCCCCCUGGGAUAAUAUUGACGCUCAUGCACGAAAGCGUGGGGAGCAAACAGGAUUAGAUACCCUGGUAGUCCACGCCCUAAACGAUGUCUACUAGUUGUUGGUGGAGUAAAAUCCAUGAGUAACGCAGCUAACGCGUGAAGUAGACCGCCUGGGGAGUACGAUCGCAAGAUUAAAACUCAAAUGAAUUGACGGGGGCCCGCACAAGCGGUGGAUUAUGUGGAUUAAUUCGAUGCAACGCGAAAAACCUUACCUGGCCUUGACAUGUACCGAAUUUNCCAGA
rnacentral:rRNA from 1 species